rnacentral:rRNA from 1 species
GACGAACGCUGGCGGCGUGCUUAACACAUGCAAGUCGAACGAAGAGCGAUGGAAGCUUGCUCCUAUCAAUCUUAGUGGCGAACGGGUGAGUAACGCGUAAUCAACCUGCCCUUCAGAGGGGGACAACAGUUGGAAACGACUGCUAAUACCGCAUACGAUCUAAACUCGGCAUCGAGGAUAGAUGAAAGGUGGCCUCUACAUGUAAGCUAUCACUGAAGGAGGGGAUUGCGUCUGAUUAGCUAGUUGGAGGGGUAACGGCCCACCAAGGCGAUGAUCAGUAGCCGGUCUGAGAGGAUGAACGGCCACAGUGGGACUGAGACACGGCCCAGACUCCUACGGGAGGCAGCAGUGGGGAAUCUUCCGCAAUGGACGAAAGUCUGACGGAGCAACGCCGCGUGAGUGAUGACGGCCUUCGGGUUGUAAAGCUCUGUUAAUCGGGACGAAAGGCCUUCUUGCGAAUAGUGAGAAGGAUUGACGGUACCGGAAUAGAAAGCCACGGCUAACUACGUG